rnacentral:rRNA from 1 species
AGUCGAGCGGACAGAUGGGAGCUUGCUCCCUGAUGUUAGCGGCGGACGGGUGAGUAACACGUGGGUAACCUGCCUGUAAGACUGGGAUAACUCCGGGAAACCGGGGCUAAUACCGGAUGCUUGUUUGAACCGCAUGGUUCAGACAUAAAAGGUGGCUUCGGCUACCACUUACAGAUGGACCCGCGGCGCAUUAGCUAGUUGGUGAGGUAACGGCUCACCAAGGCGACGAUGCGUAGCCGACCUGAGAGGGUGAUCGGCCACACUGGGACUGAGACACGGCCCAGACUCCUACGGGAGGCAGCAGUAGGGAAUCUUCCGCAAUGGACGAAAGUCUGACGGAGCAACGCCGCGUGAGUGAUGAAGGUUUUCGGAUCGUAAAGCUCUGUUGUUAGGGAAGAACAAGUGCCGUUCAAAUAGGGCGGCACCUUGACGGUACCUAACCAGAAAGCCACGGCUAACUACGUGCCAGCAGCCGCGGUAAUACGUAGGUGGCAAGCGUUGUCCGGAAUUAUUGGGCGUAAAGGGCUCGCAGGCGGUUUCUUAAGUCUGAUGUGAAAGCCCCCGGCUCAACCGGGGAGGGUCAUUGGAAACUGGGGAACUUGAGUGCAGAAGAGGAGAGUGGAAUUCCACGUGUAGCGGUGAAAUGCGUAGAGAUGUGGAGGAACACCAGUGGCGAAGGCGACUCUCUGGUCUGUAACUGACGCUGAGGAGCGAAAGCGUGGGGAGCGAACAGGAUUAGAUACCCUGGUAGUCCACGCCGUAAACGAUGAGUGCUAAGUGUUAGGGGGUUUCCGCCCCUUAGUGCUGCAGCUAACGCAUUAAGCACUCCGCCUGGGGAGUACGGUCGCAAGACUGAAACUCAAAGGAAUUGACGGGGGCCCGCACAAGCGGUGGAGCAUGUGGUUUAAUUCGAAGCAACGCGAAGAACCUUACCAGGUCUUGACAUCCUCUGACAAUCCUAGAGAUAGGACGUCCCCUUCGGGGGCAGAGUGACAGGUGGUGCAUGGUUGUCGUCAGCUCGG